UGGGGAAUUUUGGACAAUGGGGGCAACCCUGAUCCAGCCAUGCCGCGUGCGGGAAGAAGGCCUUCGGGUUGUAAACCGCUUUUAGCCGGGAAGAAAAGGCGCAGGACAAUACCUUGCGUUCUUGACGGUACCGGCGGAAUAAGCACCGGCUAACUACGUGCCAGCAGCCGCGGUAAUACGUAGGGUGCGAGCGUUAAUCGGAAUUACUGGGCGUAAAGCGUGCGCAGGCGGUUCGUUAAGUUCGAUGUGAAAGCCCCGGGCUCAACCUGGGAACGGCAUUGGAAACUGGCGAGCUUGAAUGCGGCAGAGGGGGGUGGAAUUCCGCGUGUAGCAGUGAAAUGCGUAGAGAUGCGGAGGAACACCGAUGGCGAAGGCAGCCCCCUGGGCCGACAUUGACGCUCAGGCACGAAAGCGUGGGGAGCAAAC
rnacentral:rRNA from 1 species